GCCUACGGGGGGCAGCAGUAGGGAAUCUUCCACAAUGGGCGAAAGCCUGAUGGAGCAACGCCGCGUGGGUGAAGAAGGUCUUCGGAUCGUAAAACCCUGUUGUUAGAGAAGAAAGUGCGUGAGAGUAACUGUUCACGUUUCGACGGUAUCUAACCAGAAAGCCACGGCUAACUACGUGCCAGCAGCCGCGGUAAUACGUAGGUGGCAAGCGUUAUCCGGAUUUAUUGGGCGUAAAGGGAACGCAGGCGAUCUUUUAAGUCUGAUGUGAAAGCCUUCGGCUUAACCGAAGUAGUGCAUUGGAAACU
rnacentral:rRNA from 1 species